GUGAGGAAUAUUGGUCAAUGGGCGAGAGCCUGAACCAGCCAAAUCGCGUGAAGGAAGACUGCCUUAUGGGUUGUAAACUUCUUUUAUACAGGAAUAAAAAAGGGGACGUGUCCCUUAUUGCAUGUACUGUAUGAAUAAGCAUCGACUAACUCCGUGCCAGCAGCCGCGGUAAUACGGAGGAUGCGAGCGUUAUCCGGAUUUAUUGGGUUUAAAGGGUGCGCAGGCGGGCUUUUAAGUCAGCGGUGAAAUCUCGGGGCUUAACUCCGAAACUGCCGUUGAAACUGGGAGUCUUGAGUAUGGAUGUAGUAGGCGGAAUUCGUUGUGUAGCGGUGACAUGCUUAGAUAUAACGAGGAACUCCGAUUGCGUAGGCAGCUUACUAAGCCAUAACUGACGCUCAAGCACGAAAGCGUGGGGAUCAAACAGGAUUAGAUACCCUGGUAGUCC
rnacentral:rRNA from 1 species